UAGGGAAUCUUCCACAAUGGACGAAAGUCUGAUGGAGCAACGCCGCGUGAGUGGAGAAGGGUUUCGGCUCGUAAAACUCUGUUGUUAAAGAAGAACAUAUCUGAGAGUAACUGUUCAGGUAUUGACGGUAUUUAACCAGAAAGCCACGGCUAACUACGUGCCCG
rnacentral:rRNA from 1 species